AAUUUGGAAUCCUUAUUUUGUAUUUGGCAGUUAUGAGGUGCUUUUUUGUGCCAGCACUCUGUGAAUUAUGUUUGAAGUAUUUGUGAUAUAGUAGUGAAACAUAUCUGAAGCUUUAUCCUGAACAUUUGACUUCUUUCUUUUAUACAGUGUAACUGUUUAUAUUUAUUUUAUAGUCUCUGUAAAGAAUCCUAUUUGAAGAACUGGUUUACAUUAUUUAUUUCAUUGCUGUUGUUUAUUUUAUUCCCAGAAACUGCUGAUUUGACCUUUGUGACGAUGUAUAUCACUAGACUACUACUCCUAUAUAUCAAACAGUUGUCAGUCCUUAUGAUAGAUAUCUCUCUCUUAAACGUUCUUAAUCUGAUCGAGCACAUAGUUAUUUAAGGUUUUGUGGAUUGUUUAUUUCGACCCGGGAGUUGUAAGGAUAAUAGAUUUUGCUUUUGUGUUGCAUUAUUCUUCUCCCUUCGCUUCACAGUUUGCCCUUUCUUUUUUCCUUCUUUUGAGGCUUGUUGUGUGUUUUCCCUCAUUGGAUGUUCAAAUCUUGUUUUUUAGAUCACUUGUGCAGAUCAAUUAUUAAGUGUUUAUGGCAAUUUGUGAAUUUCACCACAUGUUUACUUUCAGAAAAGGAGAACUUGUGUCUCUAUGGGCUUCCUAAUGAAACAUGGGAAGUAAACCUCCCGGUGGAGGAGGUGCCUCCGGAACUUCCAGAGCCAGCAUUGGGCAUAAAUUUUGCACGUGAUGGAAUGCAAGAAAAAGACUGGUUAUCACUUGUUGCUGUUCACAGUGAUUCGUGGCUGCUUUCUGUUGCAUUCUACUUUGGUGCACGGUUUGGGUUCGGCAAGAGUGACAGGUAAUAGUAUAACAUCUGUUACCUUUAGAUUUCACCUAGAUCGCUUUAACUGCUCGAACUUGCUCCUCUCUGUUGUAUUUCAUUUGAAUGUGUAUGUUUUUCAUGUUUGAUGGAAGACAUUGGAGGCCUAGGCUAUCUUUAGGGAAAUGUAAAUUAGUGUUGUAUCGUGUGCUGUCCUAUUAAAUUCUGUGUGGAUUUCCCACCCUCCGUUUUAAAUUCUAUCUUUGUAGUGUCUAUUAGGUAUUUUUUGCUUGUGUCUCUUUUAUCUUUAGGGGUGUAUCUAGUGGCUUAAGUUGAGCUACUUCUUUCCCAUUGUAGUUCCCCUCAUGCUGCUUAAAUUCAUCUCCCCAAUCAUUUAGAACAUCCAGAACUUGUGUGCUCCAUUGAUUGAUUUAGGGAGAUGAGCCUCUGUGGUUGCUGUCCCUUUUUUGUUCCAUAGGUGGGAUAAUUUUCCUUGAAAAAUCACUUAAGUAAUUUAGUCAACAAUCAUGUAUUGAAAGGCUCUCUUUUCCAGAAUUGUUCUUUCUAAACCAUACAGUGGUAGCGCUCCCUUUUUUCCCUUCAAAUCUCUGUUGAAGAAAUAGGUAUAUGUUUCCUUUUUGUCGUCUUUUUGCUUACCAUGUUGUGUUUGACCUGUUUGUUGCCUCUUCUUGAGGUAUUUUCACGCAACGAUCAAUCAACCAUGCUCUGGGCCAAAUCCCAAACAAGGUGGAUUUGAUUUACUGUAUGUGAUUCUUCUCUCCAGGAUUCAGUAUUUAGAAUCAUCAUAGUGGCAUUGUUUGUGGCAUCAUUGGAUAAGAUAAUGUUUGAUUGAGAAGCUAAGGAUGACUGAGAUGUUUAUUUCAGCUGGUGUUUUUAGAUGUGUCGUAUUGAAUGAAAUAGCAUGUUGAGUGAACAAUAGGAGGUCGGCAAUCUUGAGAGAUCAUCAGCUGUUAUUAUUGAAUAGGUUAGUGCUUAGUUGAGUAACUGAAGGAUGUCUAGCAUGCCAGGACAUUCAGGACAAUAUUAAUGCUGUAUAAUACUUGAGUCCUCCACUUUUUGUAUCUGCUGCUAUUGUAGGCUAGAAAAUCUUCUGGGUGUGAAACUAUACUGAAAAUCAUUAUAAGCUGGAUUUUAUACUGCGAAACUAGUUUCGGAGGAGUCCAUAAUCAUGCGUACAUGUCCAGAAAUGUAAUGUUAAAUUUGCUUAUAUCUGUCAAGUGUCUGGAUAAGUUCAUCUAGCUAGCAUCCCAUCUCGUGAAUGUGGCUUCCAUUGGUUAAAUGGUUAUCUGAGAUUUAUUUAGAGAGAAUAAUUGCUUUCAUUUUGGAAUUUUUGCAUACAGGAAGAGGCUUUUCCAAAUGAUAAAUGAUCUUCCAACAGUGUUUGAGGUUGUUACUGGAGUUGCUAAGCAGGCACGUGAUGCCGCUCACAACAAUAGCAGCAAAAGCAAAUCAAGUGGAAAGGUUCUCAUAUACUGGAUCAACAUAAAUAAUUUACUCUUCUUUUUCCUUAUUUUGUCUAUCAUCUUUGAUUUACAGUCUAGACAGCCAGAGUCCCAACCCAAGGCAGCAAAGGUGUCUCCACCUAAAAUGGAGAACGAAAGUGGGGAGGAGGAAGAAGAAGAAGAAGAAGAAGACGAGCAAGGAGCAACUCUGUGUGGAGCUUGUGGUGAUAAUUAUGCCACUGAUGAAUUCUGGAUUUGCUGUGAUAUUUGCGAGAGAUGGUUCCAUGGCAAAUGCGUGAAGAUCACUCCAGCAAAAGCUGAGCAUAUCAAGCAGUACAAGUGUCCUAGUUGCAGUAGCAAGAGAGCUAAAGUUUAAACUCUUGUGGUAACUUUAAGAGCAACAUCAGUUAAGUGGUGAUGUUGGGAAGGUCUAGGACUUUUAGCUCAGUUAUCAAAUGCCAUCUAUGUCAAAGUUAAAUGUUUGCUGAUGAUAUGUCCAUUUCAUGAACAUUUGCUUUCUGUAAUCUUGGUUUUUGAUUGUGUUUUAGAUAAAAACUUGUGCCUGUCAUCAUCUUGUGUUUGUGGAUCCAUUUUCAUCUUCUUUUACUCUUAACUUACCUAAAUAUUACACUCUGGUAGUAUGGGGAAUUCAGAUCCGUCGCAAUGAUCAUCUUCCCCUCCAAUUUUGAAAUGAUUUUGAUUGCCGUGUGACAAUCCCUACAUAUCCUUACGCUCUACACCGCCCUUAUGACCGAGUGUGGCUCAGUAACAAGAAGUGCAGAAGCCACAGCCAAAUUCUCACUAUGGGUCCCUGCAUCUCUUCCAUCUUGUCAAAGAGCCCUCUUGCAGAAGCCAAAACACCAACUCUUGCAUAUGCUGAAAUCAUCGCAUUCCAUGUAACUAAGUUCUUGUAUGUACCUAAUUCAUCAAAGAUCUUCCUAGCCAUAGCAAGGUUCCCACACUCGGCAUGGCAUGCAUGUCGAGUGCGCAGUCUUAGCAGAAUAAUUCAAGCAAACACGCCAUGCGAAGAACACAAAGAAAUGACAGUAGCCCAUGUAGUUACAUCUGGGCAAACGCCACAACUCAUCAUCUCAUUAAACAACCUUAUAACUUCUUCAGCACACCCAUUUUGAUCAUUACCCGGACAACAUGGCAUAUCUGCAUUCGAAGACGCAACACUUCUCUCCGGCAUUUGAUCAAAAUACUUCCUAGCAUUCUCCAAAUCUUUCCUUCUUGAAUACCCAGUAACCAUGCAGUCCAAGUAACCACAUCCUUCUCGAUACUAGUACUGCAUAAUAGUGAUCAAAUCAGCUGAGAUGUCGUGAAUCAACUUCAGAAUGCUUUUGAAUUGUUUCAAUUCAAUGUCUUUACAGACUUCAUGGGAUCGUAAAGCUGAGCCAAUGCUAUGGUUCUCUAAAGAGGUUGUAUCCUAGAGAGGAAACUAAAGCUACAACGACCCUUCCAGCUUGAUAAAUUUGACACUUCAAAAAAGCAUUACAAAGUGAUUCUAAGAAUCUAACACACAAAACUUUUGUCCCUCCAACUCCAAUUACUCAUUCAUCUGUUCAUUUAUACUAACACAAACCACAAUUUAGCUCUUUAUAGUUAGUAGAUAGGUGUGAUUGUUGCAACAAUUACAAUAAUCACACUACAUGAGUUCUAUCACAAAUGUUUUAAAUAGCGUACAAGGCAUGGCUAGAAAAGAAAAUGGACAUUAGUAGGAGCAAUUACUUGGGCUAUCUCAGUUCUACAAGCAGAGCACAAAAAGCAUCAUUCAAAAGCCAGCAUCCAUGAUGUUCUUCUAGCUAACAUGUAGGCGAAUUCAGGCCAAAUGGCCAGUAGAUCAAGCUUAAAACAAUGGAGGAGCAGGGGAGUCUAUUAAGUUUUUUCUUUAAUUGAAAAGGAAAGUAUUUGUUAGUAGAUGUUGGUGCUUAUAUUGUAAUUUUAAUAUGAAAAUUCACAUAAACACCAAAAUUGCUAGAUAUCCGCGCCUCAAUCUAAAUAUUUAUUUAUUCAUUUUAUUUUAUAUUCAACAACGGUGUCCGAAGGGGUGUCUAUAAUUCGGGUCUAACCUUGUGAUAUACAUGGUCAAUCCGGUGCACUAAAACACCCGCUAUGCACGGAGUUUGGGAAAGGGUCUAUUUCCGCGUCUUACCUCACAUUUCUGCAAGAGGUUGUUUCCACGGUUUGAACCCAUGAUAGAGGUUGUUUCCACGGUUUGAACCCAUCAUAUACACAUAUGAACAAACAACAACAACAACAACAACAACAAACCCAGUGUAUUCCCACUUAGUGGGGUCUGGGGGAUAAGAUGUACGCAGUCCAUAUCUCUACCUCUGAUGAAGUAGAAAGGCUGUUUCCGAAAGACCCCCGGCUCAAGUCACGAGAUAUCACACAAACACAUAGUACAGCACAGAAGCAGAUGACAUAACAUAGCUACGGCACCCAUAUGUUGAACCCAUCAUAUACACAUAUGAACAAAAAAAAAAUUUUCUAGCUUGAUUUAUAAAAAAGUAUUACUAGUAAAAAAGCUACUCACCUCAUUUCUAUAUUGGAGUCAUCCCAAAAUUACCAAUUGUGUUUAAACUCAAUUCACUGCCUUGCGACGAUUUCACCAGAAAAAUUACACUUGUUUUCUCACAUCUAAAAUUUUUCUUUCUCUAACACCGGCUCCUCUUUUUCACCCAUCAGUUGAUCUGCAAGAUAAAACAAAUACUAGUACUUAAUAAACAAAUCACUCAAACCCUAAAAUUAAUCCCAAAUUUGUUCGAACCCAUUUUGUACCUAUGCAAAGAAAUAAUCUCAAUAAGAUUAAGUUUUAGGGUAACCAAUCAACAACAUAUCCAGCAUAGUUUUUUUAGUGAAAUUUGAGAAAGAACUCACCAAAAAAUACCAUGAUUAUACUAAUGGCAUAGAAUUAUACCAACAAUACUGAUAAGAAAAAUUAGAUAAUACUGACUAUGUCAUUGUAUCUCCUCAACAACUUUCGCUAAUUUUAUGAAAUAUCUGUUAUCUCUCACUAUAUCAGCAAAUUUUAUCCAUCAAAACAAAGUCAUAUAAAAAUUUGUCUUCCAUAACCUUGUAAUUCUCAAUCCAUUCAUUACUACAUCAAAUCUUUUGAAUACACAAUCCAAAAAACAUUUACUUUGAAAAGAAAGUGUAGACCUUUAGAUAACUAAAUAGACAUUCGUGCUAUUUCAAUCCCAUUAAAAACAAGAAUAUCAAAAUCAAACCCCUCAAAACUCAACAACCACACCCUUCUUGUUUACAUCUUUGCCUCGUCAUCAAACAAGAAGAAAAGAAGAUACUAGAACCCCUUCCCAAGUUCCUAACCAAUAAUAAAAUAAUCUCAACUAGGACCAUUAUAAUUUUUAAACAAGAAAAAAAAGAAGACAUUUUUACAUCAGAUUUCUGAUGUCUCUGCCACUUUUUUUUUUUUUUUUUUACAAUAGAUCCAAGUACUUGUACAGUAGUGCUAUAUUUACUCAAAAAAGGAAAAAAGAAAAUGAAUGCAGCUGCUAGAGUAAAACUCUCUACCCACCCAUCUCCACAUUCUUUUUUCUUCUCUCGCUUUCCAUAUCCGCUUCUUGCAAUUUUCUCAUAAAAAUUUAAGCUUUUUUUCUUUAUAAAUCUUCAUUUUUAACAGCAUAUAAUAAACUAAUUAUAAAUUCUGGGCAAUAUGAAGAGGAAACCCUAGCUAGUUCUUGGAAAAAACCCUAAUUUGCUUCAACCCUUUUCUUGUUUUUAGUCAAAGACUCAAUUUUUAGCUUGUGGGGUUGUUAGAAAUUGCUUGAAAAUAAGGAUAAUAUGGAAAAUACAGUACCUAGGACUGUAGAAGAAGUAUUCACUGAUUUCAAAGGUCGUAGAGCUGGUCUAAUCAAAGCACUUACUGCAGGUUUCUAAUUCUUCUUCUUUUUUAUCUUGGAUUUUUAUGCAGUGUUGUGAGUUUUUAAGCAUAAUUACGUUCUGGAUUUUGUUGGUUUUGCUAAUUAUGAUGUUAUUUUUUUGAUUUUGCUAAUUGUGAUUUUAUUUUUUUAUGAAUUAUUGCAGAUGUUGAGAAGUUUUAUCAGCAGUGUGAUCCUGGUGUGUUUUUUUUGCUCAGUUUGCUCAUUUGGUUCUUCUGUUUUACUGAUUUUGAGGUGUAUUUCUUAAAUGUAGUAUAUUUUCCUAUAUGCUAUAGCUUUUAAUUUCUGGGACUUUUUAUGAGAGAGAGAGAGAGAACUCUGUUGUGCAUAUUCCUGCUAAAAAAAAAUUGGAAUUUCAUUGUUAAUGUGGUUAGAGUGAUUAAGCCACCUAAUUAGGACUUUGUGACUGACUGUUAAUGUUGAUAUUUCAGAAUUCUAUAAUUUGCUUAUUGUCCAGUUUUUGUGUCAGUUUUGUAAUUUCAAUGUCUUUUUCUCUGAAAGUAAGCUAAAACACCUCAUGGUUAGAGCUUUCUGACUGUUUGCAUCGUUUUGUCAUUUGAUGUUGUUCUUUGGCUGUUAUGCAGGAACGAAAACAAUCAUAUCUUUAUUAAGUAGUUAAUCGUUGCUUCAGUUGAAAAAAGAAAUUCUUCUGCAUUUACAACAGAAUUAUCAUGACCUCAAACUGCAUUCCAGAAUAUGAGUUGUAAAAAUGAGAUCAUUACUUAGAAUUUUAUGUCAUUUAGUGAGUGUGUCAAUGUUAGAAGUGUUUUCAUCGUAAUUUUGAAGGUGUGUGUUAAUUCUCAAGGAGGUAGCGGUAUGGUCUGCGUACAUCCUACCCUCCCCAGACCCUACUUUGUGGGAAUACACUGGGUUUGUUGUUGUUGUUGUUGUGUUAAUUCUCAAGGAAGACGAGAUGUAAAAUUUUCUUUUAUGUAGCAGUGAUCAUCAUUUCCCUAUCACAGUGACAAGUGUCUCCAACCAUUACUAAUCUUGUUUCUGAUUGGUAAUAGGCAUGUCCCAAUGUCUGUUGUAUUAAAGAAAUGUCAAGACUUAUCCUGAUUGUAUCAGCUGGUGUACUUAUAAAGGUAAAAGAGCAUAUGAUUGCAGUUCUGAAAGCACUUUGAUGUUUUCAUGACCUUUUGUAGACGCUUUUGGUGUAUACAUACUUGAGGCGUCUGGAGGCGGUUUUGUUGAAGUGGUCGAAGUUUGUGGUCAGUGUGGGAGGAUAGUUGUCAUCUUGUGAUUAAUGAAUGUUCUCGUAUUUUUUUCUCCUUGUCAUUUUUCUUUUGUGGUGAAGGUGACAUUCUGUUAUUGCGGGUCACUGAACACAAUUUCAGAUAUUUGGAAAUCCUUAUUUUGCAUUUUGACAGUAUUAGAGGUGACUUUUUGUGCCAGCAUUCAUGGAUUGUUUUUGAAGGCAUUUGAUGUAAUAGAGAAACAUACCAUAGCUUUAUCCGGAACUCUUGACUCCUUUAUUUUAUGCAGCUUCUACCUUGUUCAUAUUUAUUCUCUAGUCUGUAAAUAACUCUGUAUGAAGAACUGGUUUAAAUACUUUAUUUCAUUGCUGUUAUUUAUGUUGUUCCCAUUUUGCAGAACUUCUUAUGAUGAACUUUGUGACAAUGUAUAUCUAUAAACUACUCUAUGUCAAACAGUUAUCUUGGUUUCAUGUCAGUAUAUCUCACUUUUGAAUGUUCUUAGUCCAAUCACAUAGUUAUAAGGAGAUUUGGAUUGUUUAUUCCAACCUGGAAGUUGUAAGGAUAAUAGAUUUUUCUUGUGUUGUAGCAUCAUUCUUCUCUCCUUCACUUCACAGUUUGCCCUCUCCUUUUCCUUGUUAUGAGGCCUGUUGGGUAUUUUCCCUCACUGGAUUUUCAAUUCUUCUUUCCUUUAGAUCUCUUAUGCGGAUUAUUUUUGUGAAUUGCUUAUGUCCAGUUCUGAAUUUAACCAUGUAUUUACUUUCAGAAAAGGAGAACUUGUGUCUCUAUGGGCUUCCUAAUGAAACAUGGGAAGUAAACCUCCCUGUGGAGGAGGUGCCUCCAGAACUUCCGGAGCCAGCAUUAGGCAUAAAUUUUGCACGUGAUGGAAUGCAAGAGAAGGACUGGUUAUCACUUGUUGCUGUUCACAGUGAUUCAUGGUUG
rnacentral:lncRNA from 1 species